rnacentral:ncRNA from 1 species
UGAAAUGCGUUGACGGGAAAUAGUAGGUAUAUGGACAUGACAGAGAGUCUUCGGCCGGUGCAAGAAGAUAUGCGAAGUAUUCGGAACACAUCCCUGAGCAGCAAAGGUGAAUUCAGUAGCUUUUGCCGGUAUCCUGCAUCCGUUACCGUGCUAGAGUAUGAUGGUACUCGAAGAGAUUGAUAUCGUGAGGUAUCAAUAAAAUAAGGUGGAAUCACGUAAGGUAACUUUCGUCCUUUGG